rnacentral:lncRNA from 1 species
GGUUUAUGGACAGUCACUCCGUUCUCUGCUUUAUAAGCGUCUGUCUGAGCRUAUCGCAGAGCUAAUUUAGCUAAAUGCACGCCGCAGCCUGUUUGUCAUAUGCCUGCUCUGUCAUCUGGCCUUUCCCUCACCUCCGUCACUUUUGGUCUGUGCCGGUGUCUCUGUAUUUCAGCAGCGGGGCAGGCAGAGGGAAGGCCAGGACGUUAGGCAGACGCAAAAUCUCACCAGAAGUCACAACGCAGAUAUUUAACUACCAUCUGCUCUGGAUAAUCCAAAAAAUGGGACUGAAACACAGCAGUGUUGACAUACGAAGGCAGUGCAAACUGCUGAAACAAAGAAUCAGGAGCUUCGAUUUUGCACAAARCUUAAGUGAAAAAUCUACACCAAUGCAAAUGUUACUAUGCUUAAGGAUGUGA